rnacentral:rRNA from 1 species
UACGGAGGAUGCGAGCGUUAUCCGGAUUUAUUGGGUUUAAAGGGUGCGUAGGUUGUCCGGCAAGUCGGCGGUGAAAUGUUCCUGCUUAACAGGGAAGCUGCCGUCGAAACUGCCGGACUUGAGUGUAAACGGGGCAGGCGGAAUUCGUGAUGUAGCGGUGAAAUGCAUAGAUAUCACGCAGAACCCCGAUUGCGAAGGCAGCUUACCAAGGCAACACUGACACUGAAGCACGAAAGCGUGGGUAUCAAACAGGAUUAGAUACCCUGGUAGUCCACGCUGUAAACGAUGAUUACUAGUUGUUUGCGAUAGAGUGUAAGCGACACAGCGAAAGCGUUAAGUAAUCCACCUGGGGAGUACGUCGGCAACGGUGAAANUCAAAGGAAUUGACGGGGGCCCGCACAAGCGGAGGAACAUGUGGUUUAAUUCGAUGAUACGCGAGGAACCUUACCCGGGUUUGAACGCAAUAUGACAGGUGGUGAAAGCCGUCUUCUAGCAAUAGCAUAUUGCGAGGUGCUGCAUGGUUGUCGUCAGCUCGUGCCGUGAGGUGUCGGCUUAAGUGCCAUAACGAGCGCAACCCUCACCGUUAGUUACCAUCAAGUAAGUUGGGGACUCUAACGGGACUGCCGGCGUAAGCCGUGAGGAAGGUGUGGAUGACGUCAAAUCAGCACGGCCCUUACAUCCGGGGCGACACACGUGUUACAAUGGGCGGGACAAAGGGCUGCUACCGGGCAACCGGAUGCCAAUCUCCAAACCCGCUCUCAGUUCGGAUCGGAGUCUGCAACUCGACUCCGUGAAGCUGGAUUCGCUANUAAUCGCGCAUCAGCCAUGGCGCGGUGAAUACNUUCCCGGGCCUU